GGCAGUGUGGGGUAGUGGUAACGAGCAUGGCUCAGAAACAAAAGGUUCCUGGUUCGAAUCCCUGCUGAGGCACUGCCA